UUCCGGUUGAUCCUGCCAGAGGUCACAUGCUAUCAGUGUUCGAUUAAGCCAUGCGAGUUAAAUGUUCUUCGUGAACAUAGCAGACUGCUCAGUAACACGUGGAUAACCUGCCCUUAGGACUGGCAUAACCCCGGGAAACUGGGGAUAAUUCCGGAUAGAUCAUAAAUGCUGGAAUGCUUUAUGAUUGAAAGGUUUCGACCGCCUUAGGAUGGAUCUGCGGCCCAUCAGGUUGUAGUGGGUGUAAUGUACCUACUAGCCUACGACGGGUACGGGUUGUGGAAGCAAGAGCCCGGAGAUGGAUUCUGAGACAUGAAUCCAGGCCCUACGGGGCGCAGCAGGCGCGAAAACUUUACAAUGCGGGAAACCGUGAUAAGGGAACACUGAGUGCUAGCAUUUAUGUUAGCUGUCCACAUGUGUAAAUAGCAUGUGAUAGCAAGGGCUGGGCAAGACCGGUGCCAGCCGCCGCGGUAACACCGGCAGCCCGAGUGGUGAUCACUAUUAUUGGGUCUAAAGGGUCCGUAGCCGGUUUAAUCAGUCUUCUGGGAAAUCUAAUCGCUUAACUAUUAGGCUUCCAGGGGAUACUGCUAGACUUGGGACCGGGAGAGGUAAGAGGUACUGCAGGGGUAGGAGUGAAAUCUUGUAAUCCCUGUGAGACCACCAGUGGCGAAGGCGUCUUACCAGAACGGGUCUGACGGUGAGGGACGAAAGCUGGGGGCACGAACCGGAUUAGAUACCCGGGUAGUCCCAGCUGUAAACGAUGCUCGUUAGGUGUCAGGAACGGUGCGACUGUUUCUGGUGCCGAAGGGAAGCCGUGAAACGAGCCACCUGGGAAGUACGGCCGCAAGGCUGAAACUUAAAGGAAUUGGCGGGGGAGCACUACAACGGGUGGAGCCUGCGGUCUAAUUGGACUCAACGCCGGAAAACUCACCGGGGGCGACAGCAAUAUGUAGGUCAGGUUAAAGGUCUUACCUGAAUCGCUGAGAGGAGGUGCAUGGCCGUCGUCAGUUCGUACUGUGAAGCAUCCUGUUAAGUCAGGCAACGAGCAAGACCCGUGCCCACUGUUACCAGCAUAUCCUUUAUGGAUGAUGGGGACUCUGUGGAGACCGCUGCUGCUAAAGCAGAGGAAGGUGCGGGCUACGGUAGGUCAGUAUGCCCCGAAUCUCCCGGGUACACGCGGGUACAAUGGUUGGGACAAUGGGUAUCUACUCCGAAAGGAGUUGGCAAUCUCUUAAACCCAAUCGUAGUUCGAAUUGAGGGCUGUAACUCGCCCUCAUGAAGCUGGAAUCCGUAGUAAUCGCGUUUCAACAUAGCGCGGUGAAUCUGUCCCUGCUCUUGCACACACCGCCCGUCAAACCA
rnacentral:rRNA from 1 species